CCUACGGGAGGCAGCAGUGAGGAAUAUUGGUCAAUGGACGAGAGUCUGAACCAGCCAAGUAGCGUGAAGGAUGACUGCCCUAUGGGUUGUAAACUUCUUUUAUAUGGGAAUAAAAUGUUCCACGUGUGGGAUUUUGUAUGUACCAUAUGAAUAAGGAUCGGCUAACUCAGUGCCAGCAGCCGCGGUAAUACGGAGGAGCCGAGCGUUAUCCGGAUUUAUUGGGUUUAAAGGGAGCGUAGGUGGAUGGUUAAGUCAGUUGUGAAAGUUUGCGGCUCAACCGUAAAAUUGCAGUUGAAACUGGCAGUCUUGAGUACAGUAGAGGUGGGCGGAAUUCGUGGUGUAGCGGUGAAAUGCGUAGAUAUCACGAAGAACUCCGAUUGCGAAGGCAGUUCACUGGACUGCAACUGACACUGAGGCUCGAAAGUGUGGGUAUCAAACAGGAUUAGAUACCCCAGUAGUC
rnacentral:rRNA from 1 species